rnacentral:rRNA from 1 species
UAGUCCACGCCGUAAACGAUGGAUACUAGUUGUUGGAUUUUCGGAUUCAGUGACUAAGCGAAAGUGAUAAGUAUCCCACCUGGGGAGUACGGUCGCAAGAUUGAAACUCAAAGGAAUUGACGGGGGCCCGCACAAGCGGUGGAGCAUGUGGUUUAAUUCGAUGAUACGCGAGGAACCUUACCAGGGCUUAAAUGUAAGUUGCAUAGAGUAGAGAUAUUCUUUUCUUCGGACUACUUACAAGGUGCUGCAUGGUUGUCGUCAGCUCGUGCCGUGAGGUGUCAGGUUAAGUCCUAUAACGAGCGCAACCCCUACCGUUAGUUGCCAGUAUGUAAAGAUGGGAACUCUAACAAGACUGCCAGUGCAAACUGUGAGGAAGGUGGGGAUGACGUCAAAUCAUCAGGCCCUUACGUCCUGGGCUACACACGUGCUACAAUGGCCGGUACAGAGAGCAGCCANACCGCGAGGUGGAGCGAAUCUAUAAAACCGGUCUCAGUUCGGAUCGGAGUCUGCAAC